UGUUGUUGUUUCAGUAAUUUACCGACCUCCUGACUAUAAUUUGAAGCAAUUCUGUAACAAUUUGAGAGACCUAUUAGAAGAGCUGCAUAAAAUUGCUGUAGAUAUUCACUGUGCAUGAACUGCUUGAAAGAACUCAGGCUGAUACUAAACACAAUUAAGGUUCCAAAGGUAUUUGUGUAUGAUAUUACACAAGAAACUAUGCAAGUAUUCCAGUCUUUACAAUUUACCAUGAUGAGAAUAAGUGGAUUCUCUUGCUAAAUGUCUGCUGUCAAGCUUCAUGAGGUCUGCCACAAGGUUUUAAGCUAGCCAGCAUAAAAGCCAUUAGUUCUUUCAUAGCAAUUGUCUAAACUUUGCAACUUUGAUGAUAAUGUCCAACUGUGAGCAGGCUAUUUUUUCAGCUUUGCUGCAUGGAAUGGAAGCACCAAAUAUAAACUGUAUUCCUUCUGAAGCUAAAGCUAAUCUGUGCAGUAUUGAAAGGCAUAUAGUUCAGUUCUCAGUUAGAUGGUGCUUGAGAGAUCUGUUCAUUUUUCAA